CAGAAGAGACAGCUGCCCCAAGCUUGCCCGACUGGGCAGAGGAUCUUCCUCCUGUCACCACUGGAGACACUUUCAUUUGGUCAGCAGAUUAUCUAGCUCUUCACUGACCUCAUUGAGAGCUCAGAUAUCUGGCUUAUACGGGUGUACUUAAAGGAGUAAUUCAGGUACCUAGGCACAGGCAGCUGUCAACAUUUAAGAUACUCUAGGCAAUGAGAGAUAUACACAUAUGACACAAGACCUACUGGAGGGUCUCCAUCUUUGCAGCACAGGUGGAGGACAGGUAGGCUGCCUUGUGCCUGCCAGAAAUCCAGCUGUGAGGAUUAUGCUGGACAUAUAUAUAUAUAUAUAUAUAUAAAAUUGUUUUUUUCCUCUCUAAAUAAAAAAUGGCUCAUCAUUUUGUACAAGCUAAGAAAUGA